rnacentral:miRNA from 1 species
GCGUGCAAGCAGGAGGGGGCAAGGAUCUCUCAGUUAAGCAACAGGAAGCCUCCCUUCCCAGCUGAGGGAUCCCCGCCCCCUCCUGCUUGCACGCAAGUAGGAAUGGGAUUGGGGCUGCUCCGAUGAGAAGGGAGGCAUCGCGCUGCCUGAGAGAUCCCUGCCCCCUCCUGCUUGCAAGC